rnacentral:rRNA from 1 species
UAUCUCUGUAGAGUCUGCAUAUCAAUAAGCGGAGGAAAAGAAACUAACUAGGAUUCCCUCAGUAACGGCGAGUGAAGCGGGAAGAGCUCAAAUUUGAAAUCUUCAAGGUUUUACCUUGACGAAUUGUAGUUUAAAGAAGUGUUUUCUGUUGAAGUUUCGGUAAAAGUUCUUUGGAAUAGGACAUCAUAGAGGGUGAGAAUCCCGUAUUUGACCGUUAUUUUCAGCUGUGUGAUACACUUUCAAAGAGUCGGAUUGUUUGGGAAUGCAGUCCAGAAUGGGUGGUAAAUUUCAUCUAAAGCUAAAUACUGGCGAGAGACCGAUAGCGAACAAGUACCGUGAGGGAAAGAUGAAAAGAACUUUGAAAAGAGAGUUAAACAGUACGUGAAAUUGUCAAAAGGGAAGCGUUUGACACCAGUGUUGUUUUCUCGAAAAUCAAUUAAAAAUGGUGGGAUUUUGUGUUGUAUUGACUUUAUCAGCUUUCUGCACUUUUUUCCUAUCUUUUUUAAUGCACUUUUCGUUUAACAAGUCAACAUCAAUUUCUUUUGUUGUAAAAGAGUCAUUGGAAGGUGGCUUUCUUUUCGGAGAAAGUGUUUAUAGCCUUUGACUUCUGCAAUCGGAGAGAUUGAGGUCUGCAGCGUAGAUCCUUCGGGGUUAGAUACGUUAGAUGCUAAGCUAUAGCCUUUCAUAGACAACUUGUUGACUAUGAUCAGUCAUGUAGCUUACUCGCUUAUGUCAUUUUACCUACGCUUAGGAUGUUGAACGCGCACAGAGUCUC